rnacentral:rRNA from 1 species
GGGGAAUAUUGGACAAUGGGCGCAAGCCUGAUCCAGCCAUGCCGCGUGAGUGAUGAAGGCCUUAGGGUUGUAAAGCUCUUUCACCGGUGAAGAUAAUGACGGUAACCGGAGAAGAAGCCCCGGCUAACUUCGUGCCAGCAGCCGCGGUAAUACGAAGGGGGCUAGCGUUGUUCGGAAUUACUGGGCGUAAAGCGCACGUAGGCGGACAUUUAAGUCAGGGGUGAAAUCCCGGGGCUCAACCUCGGAACUGCCUUUGAUACUGGGUGUCUAGAGUAUGGAAGAGGUAAGUGGAAUUGCGAGUGUAGAGGUGAAAUUCGUAGAUAUUCGCAGGAACACCAGUGGCGAAGGCGGCUUACUGGUCCAUUACUGACGCUGAGGUGCGAAAGCGUGGGGAGCAAAC